rnacentral:rRNA from 1 species
AUUGAACGCUGGCGGCAGGCCUAACACAUGCAAGUCGAACGGUAACAGGAAGAAGCUUGCUUCUUUGCUGACGAGUGGCGGACGGGUGAGUAAUGUCUGGGAAACUGCCUGAUGGAGGGGGAUAACUACUGGAAACGGUAGCUAAUACCGCAUAACGUCGCAAGACCAAAGAGGGGGACCUUCGGGCCUCUUGCCAUCGGAUGUGCCCAGAUGGGAUUAGCUAGUAGGUGGGGUAACGGCUCACCUAGGCGACGAUCCCUAGCUGGUCUGAGAGGAUGACCAGCCACACUGGAACUGAGACACGGUCCAGACUCCUACGGGAGGCAGCAGUGGGGAAUAUUGCACAAUGGGCGCAAGCCUGAUGCAGCCAUGCCGCGUGUAUGAAGAAGGCCUUCGGGUUGUAAGUACUUUCUAGCGGGGAGGAAGGGAGGUAAA